rnacentral:rRNA from 1 species
UUGAUCUUAGUUGCCAGCAUUCAGUUGGGCACUCUAAGGUGACUGCCGGUGACAAACCGGAGGAAGGUGGGGAUGACGUCAAAUCAUCAUGCCCCUUAUGACCUGGGCUACACACGUGCUACAAUGGACAGAACAAAGGGCAGCGAAACCGCGAGGUUAAGCCAAUCCCACAAAUCUGUUCUCAGUUCGGAUCGCAGUCUGCAACUCGACUGCGUGAAGCUGGAAUCGCUAGUAAUCGCGGAUCAGCAUGCCGCG